CAGAGACAAAUAUUUCUUUAUUAGGAUGAAGCUGUUUACAAUAACAUUUGAGAGUGAAGCCAUAGUUUAGGAAGAUUUAAUGAUAAAAAAAAAGGUGGUUGGAAAGAAAUGUGACUUGAACGAAACUUUCAUGAAAUAUUAGCUACUGUUAAACAAGACUUGUACAAAAAACGAAGUUUGGUGUUCAAAUGUUGAAACAGUACAUUAAAACAACAUUUGAGGGGGGGGGGGGGGG